CACGUAGGGCGCGAGCGUUGUCCGGAUUCAUCGGGCGUAAAGGGCGCGCAGGCGGCCCGGAAAGUCGGAUGUGAAAACUCGAGGCUCAACCUCGAGCGUGCACCCGAUACUGCCGGGCUUGAGGCAGGUAGGGGAGAUCGGAAUUCCUGGUGUAGCGGUGAAAUGCGCAGAUAUCAGGAGGAACACCGGUGGCGAAGGCGGAUCUCUGGGCCUGUCCUGACGCUGAGGCGCGAAAGCUAGGGGAGCGAACAGG
rnacentral:rRNA from 1 species